CAUCAAUUGAAGUUUUAGUGAUGCAGCUGAACAAUGAGAUCAGCACCUCGGGGGUUAAACUUUUUUUUCAGUAUCCAAUGCAUUCUGGGAUGUAGAAUGAAGCACAAUGGCGGCGAAACUGAAUCACUUGCAACUUUUUUGUGGUCUGUUAUUUCUUUACAGAAAUAUUGCUACAAAUUAGUCUAACGUUUGCUAAAGAGUUAACGUGUGACGACAAUGGCUACAUUUUAUUUUGUCCUUGCAUGGGUACAUGUCCCCUACAGUGAGUUCUUCCAGCUAGAGGCCCUGACCCACUACCACUGCGUGGUAAGCCUAGAGGACUUGAUGAAGCAGCUGGCCCCAACACUCUGGCCUAAGGGCAGCCUACGUAGUCAGCUGUGUAAGACCAGAAGUCCUGCCCCAUGAAGGUGAGUGUUGUGAUUGAGGUGUAGUCAGAGAUGAUUACUGAGGACUGUUGUUUAGGUAUUGAGCCUAGUUACCAAAAAAAUACACUUUGAAACUGGUCAGAGAGAUUGUUCCAUGACCUAGCAUUCAGACAGUCUGUCUUUUUAUAUCAAUUUAAAUUCCUUUCUUGUAACUAAUUAAUUGAUUUGGUGGUGUUCAUGCCUAUGAAAAGACUGCCAUGGCACAGUAAAACACUGCCCCCUGGUGGACUGUUACUAUAACUGUAUUUAACCCACACAUCUCUCACACACCAUCUACACUAAACAAAAAUAGAAUUGCAACAUGGAAAGUGUUGGUCCCAUGUUUCAUGAGCUGAAAUAAAAGAUACCAGGAAUGUUCCAUGAGCACAAAAAAAACAUUUAUCUCAAAUUUUGUUCACAAAUUAGUUUACAUACACUACCGUUCAAAGGUUUGGGGAAAUUUCCUUCAGACAUUAAUGUUGUAAAUGACUAUUGUAGCUGGAAACAUCAGAUUACAAAAAAUGUAAUAUCUACAUAGGCGUACAGAGGCCCAUUAUCAGCAACCACCACUCCUGUGUUCCAAUGGCACGUUGUAUUAGCUAAUCCAAGUUUAUAAUUUGAAAAGGAUAAUAGAUCAUUAGAAAAACCCUUUUGUAAUUAUGUUAGCACAGCUGAAAACUGUUCUGAUUUAAAGAAGCAAUAAAACUGGCCUUUAGACUAGUUCAGUAUCUGGAGCGUCAGCAUUUGUGGGUUCAAUUAUAGUCUCAAAAUUACCAGAAACAAAUGCCUUCUGAAACCUGUCAGUCUAUUCUUGUUCUGGGAAAUGAAGGCUGUGUACGACUCCCUUCACAGAACAGCGCAAACUGGCUCUAACCAGAAUAGAAAGAGGAGUGGGAGGCCCCGGUGCACAACUGAGCAAGAGGACAAAUACAUUAGUGUCUAGUUUGAGAAACGGACAUCUCAGAAGUCCUCAACUGGCAGCUUCAUUAAAUAGCACCCACAAAACACCAGUCUCAACGUCAACAGUGAAGAGGCGACUCUGGGAUGCUGGCCGAAAGGAUUCAUCACCAUGGUCCGGCUGAGGAGACAUCAGAUCGCCGUUCACACGCAGGGAGAAAUGUUCUUCUGUAAAUGAGCAACAGCUGUAAAAGCAUGCAGGCCUUGAAACACACAGUAGAGUACAGAGAGAUGUCCUGGUGCCCUGUCCUGGUGCCCUGUCCUGGUGCCCCAGCUCAGUUCCCUGUGAUACAGGAGUAUAUGGGUCUGCAGCAGUAUGUAGUGUAGGAGGGAGGAACAGGAACCAGAUCGCUGCUCGGCUGCCCAGGCCAUAUGUGGACGUACAGCUGAGGAUUGGUUCUGGUUGGAUGAGCUGGGAAUACACACAAAUACACACACUCAGUCGAUGAGCUGGGAACACACAAAUACACACACUCAGUCGAUGAGCUGGGAACACACAAAUACACACACUCAGUCCGUGUGGCUCAGUCGAUGAGCUGGGAACACACAAAUACACACACUCAGUCGAUGAGCUGGGAACACACAAAUACACACACUCAGUCGAUGAGCUGGGAACACACAAAUACACACACUUGGCCGUUGUGGCUCAGUCGGUAAAGCAUGACCAUGUGUUAUAACCCCCUCACCAUGACCAUGUGCUUCCCGGAUCUAGCUGAGAUCCGCCGGGCCCUCAAGCUCUGGGUCAAGAAAACCUCUGCCUGUUCUGUUUACAUCGCCACAGUCCCACCUCACUAAGAUCCGCUGGGCCCUCAAGCUCUGGGUCAAGAAAACCCACCUCGCUGAGAUCCAAAAGUUCUUCCAAUAAGGUGAAGGUGGUGAGCUUCAAGCCAGACGUGGCUCAGAUGGACUUGUACAUCUUGUCCUUCUGUAGCUCAGUUGGUAGAGCAUGGCGCUUGUAACGCCAGGGUAGUGGGUUCGAUUCCCGGGACCACCCAUACGUAGAAU